GUUCUACAAUAACAAAUGGGAUGAAGACAUGAAUUCUACCUUGGGAAAAAAGAAAAGACUUUGAUGAUGUUUGUUUUAAGUUACUAAGUAAUUGGAUGGCUUAUUACACAGUGACAACCAAAACACUGAAAAAUCUAGUGUUCAGGUUUUUUGUUGUUGUUGUUGUUAUUGUUGUUUUUGUUUCCUUUGCCAGUAUGGGAAGAGAAUAGAGGAGGCAGAGAUGGUGUUGACUGACAAUGAAGAAUUUAAUGAGAAAGUCAUAUGUAAGCAUCUGAAGAAAGUCAGGGAGCUAAGCAUGCAGAUAUCUGUAGGAACAGCAUCCCUGAAAGAGAGAAUGGUAAAGGCAAAGGUCUUAGUUAUGGGUCUGAAGUGUUCAAGCACAGCCAGAAGGUCAGUGUAUUUAUAGCAGAGGGAAAGAAGAGGGGAAGAAUAGAUGAAGUCAUAAAAAUAAUAUACUGGAGGAGUUAGAUCAUGUAAAUUCUCACAGAUCAAAAUAACUUCAGCAUUUACUCUAAGUGAGGGGGAAAGCUACUGCAGAGUUUUGAAGAUUUAACAGAAUCACUCUAGCUGCUGUGAUAAAAAUAUAUUGAAGAAGCAAUAUAUUUUUAAUCAUGUUAAAAUGGACUUUUCAUGGUAAAAACUAGUCCUAAGCUAUCAAUACCUUUAAGAGAAAAAAGUUAUUUACUACUUAUGCAAAGUUUGGUGGGAGGGAAGUUAUUCUGUAGGGGAGCUGUCAUUGAUGUGGUGAGUUGGUACUCUAGGCUAUGUUUAGCUUGAGGUUCUAUCACCUCAAUAUGUGGCCUACAUGAUCACUGUUUUCAUACCCAAUCUUCCAUGCAAUACUCUGGAAUUGACACAUGUUGCUUUCAUUAACACCCCAUCUACCAAAAUGAAUCACAUAGUCCCAACUAACAACAAGAGAGUUGGGAAAUGGAAAGGAAUAUAUGAAAUAAUUGUUGAGUCUUACUGUGUCGUCCAGACAGAAAGGGCAAAAGUAGGAGACUAGCCAUGAGGCUAUGACAAUAUUCCAGAUAGAUCAUGGCUGCUUGGACAAGGAUGGUAGAAACAGUGGGAACAGUGAAAAAUAGUCAAAUUUUGAAUAUAAUUUGAAGGUAAGAUAAAGGGAAUUUGCUGAAUGUCAAGGCAUGAGAUAUAAAAGAUAUAAAGGAGUCACAGGUAACUGAGAUGGGAAAAACUGAAAGAAAAGUUUUGAAUACUAUCAAGAGCUCAGUUUUAGGCCUGUUAGUUUUGAGAUGCUUAUUACACAACAUUGAGAAAAUGUCAAGUAAGCAGUUCAAUAUAUGGAUUGGGAGUUUAGAGAAGAGGUUCAGGCUGAAGAUAUGAUUUGGUAGUCAUCAAUGUGUGGUUCUUAAAGCCAUAAAACUGAAUGAGAUGACUUGUCCAGUACAAGUAGGGCAAAAUGAGAAAAGAUUGAGCAUGGGAAACUCCAGCCUUUGGAGGUCAAGGAGAUGAAGAGCAAUCAGCAAAAGAAACAAAGAGAGUGAUCAGAAUGAUAGGAGAAAAACUUGGCAAGUUUGGUGUUCAGCAAGCCAAAUGAAGGGAGUUUGGUUUAUUGGUUGUUUGUAGGGUGUUUUUUGUUUGACUGUUUUUAGAGCAGAGUAAACAACUGUGUUUGGUGAGCAAUGCUUAUAGAUCAAGUAGGAUAAGAUCUAAGAAAUUACCACUGGAUUUAGCAAUGUGUAGAGGUCACUGAUGACCUCGAGAAGGGCAAUUUCAGAAAAACAAUUGGGAUACAAAUCUGAUUGGAAUAUUCUAAACAGAAUAUGGGAGAAGAAAAUUGGAGACAACAAAUAUAAACCACCAUUUCCAAGAGUUCUGCUAUUAACAGAAAGAAAUGGAAUGGUAGCCAAAGAGGAAAGUGGAAAGAAGAGAGUUUUUAAAAAUUAUUUUAUUUGCUUUUGGCUUUUUUAAACAAAAGGGUAAAUAAUUGCAUUUGUAUACACUGAUGAGAAAGGCUCAGUAAAGUACAUGAGAAGGCAGGAGAUUUACUUCCCGAGAGAGGUUAGCUUAACCAAGACUCACAGAUACAGUUAGGAUUAAUAGGUAUGGGAAUCCUCUAUAACUUGGUUCACUUUUUUUCCCCAAAUGAGAUUAAGAAGCAAGGUCACCAUCUAAGAAUGAAAGUGGGAAGGAUUCAAGGUGACAGGAAAUAGGAGAAAGCAUGGAGUCAAAGAUUUACUAGAGUAAGGCAAUGAGAGAAAGUGAGAUCGAACAGUAGGAGAAGUGGUGUGUUUUGGAAACCAAGGGAAGAUAGCGUCUCAACGAAGAAGUGGUCAAGUAUGCCAAGCAUUGCUGAGAAGCUAAAAUGAGAACUGAAAAGGCCUAUUAGAUUUAGUAACUGGGAGGUAACUAGUGACCCUAAGAAGAACUACCUUGUGGACUGAUGGGAUCAGAAGUCAGGAGCACACUUUGGAGUGAAUGGGAGAUGAAGAAAUAAGAAUAAUUAUGUCUCUCUCUUUAGAAGCUUGGCUAUGAAGGGUGAGGGGAAUGCUUUUGGCUAGAAGCCAGGACAAAUAUUGGGAUCAACCCUUCUCCCUAUUGUAGUUCUCCAAAGCAUGCCAGAGAUAGGACCCAGCAGUUUUCCUGUCUUCAUGCGGAAAAAUGGGGAGUUUGGGGGUAAAAGGGAAGAUGUAAUAGGGAAGUACAAGUAGCCAUGUGGUCAAGUGAGGAAAACUAGGGACAUAAACCAAAGGAAGCAAAAAAGGUAAUUCUGUCUGAGAAGGUACUCAGUAACAUGGAGGAACUGAUGAAGAUGAAAAUUAACCCAAGAAAACCACCACAUUAGCGGGGACCUCCAUCAACACACAAAACCCCUGAGAAUAAGAAUGAGAUAAAGAACCAACAAUUGCUCAGUGAAGUCAGACACUCCCAAGCUCCACUACUUUUCCCGCCUCCCAUUCCCCAACAUAGAAAAUCAAGACUGAAAAUGAGUUAAAUUCACAGUUCUCAAACUGUGCUAAGGUGCCCCAGGUACCCUUGCCACCUUAUAGAGGUACUAUAGGAUAUUUUAAAUAUUUGAGGGAAACAUAGCAAUACUCACUGUUUACCAGACACUACCUGAACUACCAGCUUGAGAUGUUUCUCAAUUUGAACAUUAGAUACUGUUUAAUUCCUUUUAAGAAUGUCAUAUAUUUGAAAAGCUGGGUUUUUGGCUGUUGCUCUCAUAUAAAACAAGUGCUUCCUGGAAAACCAGAGUGGAAUAGGAAAUAAGGUGGCAUCAAGGGGUGCUAGAAAAAACUGCUGGGACAAUAAAGCUACCAAUAACUGAAAAAGUUUGGCAACUUCUGGGCUAGACAAAGAGGAGGGAAUGAGAAAGGUACUUCUCAGAUACGACCACACAUACCUACACUCAGACACAGAAAAGAUUAGAGUGUAUUACAUAUUCCUGCAAUCCUUUAGGUCAAGCCUGAUAUGAGGGGAGUGUAAGAAGAGACACCUUAAUGGAGUUUGGACUUGACAUCUCUAACCAACUGUACUGAUAGCAACUGAAAGUGACUAGAAAAUUAUGACCUCUACCUGAGAUAUUGUCAAGGAAAGGAUAAGGUAGAUUUCAUUGAGUACAACUAAAAGCAAUUAAGUAGAGAGAAAAUAAAAUUCUGUCAUGUAACUAUUCCACUCAGUCAUGAUACCUGAAUUACAGUAGAUAAUGACCAUUAAACUCUGCCUGAUAGCCCCUGUAGUAAUUCCUAACCGUAGGAGGCAGUGGUAAAUAUAAAAGUGAAUUCCUUCAUGCAUUCAUUCAUUGAAUAGAUAUUUACAGAAUGUGCACUAUGUCUGGAACAUUUUACUAAACAUAAGAGUCACAGGGAGGAUGUGACGGUCAUUUUGCAUGACACCUGUCACCAACUGAUCCCAACAGUUGAUUUGGCUGAUCUGGCUAACUAGCUGGGUUCCCCUUCCUUCCUAACUGCCCCAUAUAUGUCUCUUCCAAAGCUGCCCACUCGGCUGAGGAGGAUGACUUACCCCCAUAAAGGAGGAUGAUUUUUCUGUAAGGGCAUACGUGUAGCAGUGCUCCCUUGCUAGAAGCUCCAAACAAGUCUUCAAAGAACACACACAAAAAAGCCGCUGAAGGAUAGUGUUUAAAAUAGCAUGACCACUCCAAUCGGUUUAUAACACUACCCUAUUUUUUCCAAAGCACUUAUUAUUCUCUGAAAAGAACUUUAUUUACAUAUUUAUUCUGUCUUGAUUUUAGAAAGUAAGCAUUGAGAGGGCAGGAAUUGAUUGUCUUCUUCUUCUUCCUUGCCUCAACUUCUCAACAUCUGCAUGUCCCAUGACUCCAUUAUGGGCACAAUUCUAUCUAUACCCUUUGUCAUUCUUCAGAUAUAAAUACCAUAUAGGUUGAUGCCAUACCUCGUGGUAACCUUUCCCAAGAAUGCCAAACACACACAUUCAACUUCCUACUUGAAACAGGGAUACUGAAUAGAUACCUUAAACUUAAUAUAUGUUCCUCUAUUCCCAAUGUCCCACUACAGUUUCUAACCUAGCUAUACUUGGUCAAUCUUCUCACAUUCAGUAAAUGGCAUCAUCAUCUACAGAUGGAUAAUAUCUAGCUUAAGCCAAAAAUCCAGAAUUUAUCCUUGCUUACUAUUCUUCAUCUGCAAGUUCCUAUCAACUACUUCUAAAACGUAUCUCAAUUCCAGUUCCUUCUCUACAUGUCCACUUUCACCAAACUAUUAUGGUAGUGUUUUUCUCCAGACUUCUACAGUAGUCCAACUGGUCUUUCUGCUUCUGUUUUUUGCAUUGCAACCGGAGAAAUUUUCAUACCUAAACUUUGAUUCUCUCCCCUCAACACACACCUACUUAAAGAAUUUGUCAGUUUCUAAAUGUUCCUCAAAUAAAAAGGGCUCCUAACAAAUCUACAGCGUCUACGUGGUCUGGCUCUACCUAUCUGAUAUUUUGGUGGGUGUGUGGGGAAGGUUCUUCUCAUGUUUGUCUUCUAGUUUUCAUUAAUAUCUGUCUCUCUCCUUUUCCCCAACCAAUGCGGGAUGACAGCAGAUUGCUGGUAUACUGCUUACUGCUGUAUCUCUAACAUUUAUUUAAGUGGCAAAAAGAACUGUAAGAGGAACUCUGGUUCUCCAGACUGUAGCAGCUACAUCUAGCAUAAAACCUCUCUUUAGAAUCCUCAAGGCCCUCUCUGUAUGGGGUGAGGGGUACAUUCCUGACCCUCCGGGGAUGAUCCCUGCCUCACUCCAUUCAGAAUCUAGGCAGAACAGUGGAUUAGAAUGUAGACCCCCAGUCAGAACACCAAGGGUCAAAACUUAGUUCUUCCACUUUCUAGCUGUGUGAUUUAACCUCUUUGUACAUCAGUGUCCUCAGCUGUAAAAUAGGGAGAAAAGUACCUACACCUACACACACACACACAUACACACACACACACACACACACCCCUACACACACACACAUACACACACAUGCAAUAAUUUAUUUAUUAGGUUACCUCUCCCUAGAGGCUGCCAUUUCUGCGAAAUGAACCCUGGCAGGGGCCUAUCCGUCUGCUAAAUGCCUACUGAUUCAAGAAAAAAGUCUGAACUCUCAACGUUUUGCCCCUUAAACUGAGUUCUCCUCCCUACAAUGGUGUCUAAUGAGUUGACAGAAUAACUGGCUAGCUUUAUAUUUUACCAUCUAAAUACUGUAAGAACAUACCCGGUAUUUCCACACCCAAGUUCUCCUCCUUGCUAUUCAGGCCAAUUCACUUUCCCAAGGCCAGGGAUUAAGAGCCGCACGGUCAGCUCCAG
rnacentral:lncRNA from 10 species